rnacentral:rRNA from 1 species
UACGUAGGGUGCAAGCGUUAAUCGGAAUUACUGGGCGUAAAGCGUGCGCAGGCGGCUAUGCAAGACAGAUGUGAAAUCCCCGGGCUUAACCUGGGAACUGCAUUUGUGACUGCAAGGCUGGAGUGCGGCAGAGGGGGAUGGAAUUCCGCGUGUAGCAGUGAAAUGCGUAGAUAUGCGGAGGAACACCGAUGGCGAAGGCAAUCCCCUGGGCCUGCACUGACGCUCAUGCACGAAAGCGUGGGGAGCAAACAGG